AUGACUACUUCACCCACUCUAUAACUCAUCUAAUUACAAAUACGCCACUGAAGUAUACGUUCAAUCGUUCCAAACCGUUGAUUACUCGCACGUGUCGCUCAUCGGUCUUUCCGUAUCUGUAUCAGCUCAAAUCAAGUUUCUACUCUAAACAUCUACUUUCAAAAAAUCAGACUCAUCGGCUCAUCUGUUUUAGGGUAAAGCUUCAUCUCCUUCAAAUUUUGUUCGAUUUACAUUGCAACUGCGGCAGAUUCGUAAUUGAUGGAUUCUUUGGAACGGAGUAAUCUUCAUUCGCCGGCUCCGGAGUUGAAACGGAGUACUCUCAAAUCGUCGCCUCCACAGUUGGGUAUGCAAUACCCUUUGGACUGAAUUCUAAAUAUGCUCAUCCAGAUGAGAUACUGUUUCUUGGUUUUGCUACUAUUACUGGUCCUGCCAUCACUGGACCCCAUUUGAUCACUCUGUGGUUGUGGAUGUAGUGAGAGUCCUCGAAACUGCUGAAGCACAUUGUGGUUACCAUUUCUCCUGGAGCAUUUCAAACUUCUUGCCCUUAUAUGGGGGGUUAGUAUAAUUCUCACAUCUAGCUUUCUUAUAGUUGUUCCUAUAUUUGUUCAUUAUCCUUAUUGUAUAUUCCACCUCACAAGUAUGUUUGAUUCAUUCCCAGACUUU